rnacentral:rRNA from 1 species
CCGGAGCUUCUUCUCCCGCUACCGUCAUCAUCUUCACGGGUGAAAGAGUUUUACAACCCUAAGGCCUUCUUCACUCACGCGGCAUUGCUGGAUCAGGGUUUCCCCCAUUGUCCAAUAUUCCCCA